rfam:TPA: Bos taurus chromosome 17, whole genome shotgun sequence.
UCCCUGGUGGUCCAGUGGUUAAGGCUCUUCACUCCCAAUGCAGGGGGCCCAGGUUCAGUACCUGGACAGGGAA